UAAAAUCACCCGCGGCUCCCGUGGGCAGCCCUCGGGGACCGGCCGGAGGUGUUCCCCUCCUGGUCUCCCCUCUUCUAUCCGAGCUCGGCAGAGAGAGAUGUAUGUGCUCGUGACAUCUAUCUACGGCAUGUCGCCAUGUCGGGGUCGAUGAUCAGGUCAUUGGCCGGUGAUACAUAGCCCCCCUGGAUAGAUCGGAUGCGGUCGAUGUCCGGGGAGCGGUGGCAGCGCGCGCGGACGUCGGCACCGUCGGUCGCCGGGCUAGGAUAGAAGAAGAAAUAGGUCAUGUUGCUAGCAGCUUCUGUUCAUUUAUUCACUUCUGUCGUUGUUACGGUCUUUCGCAGGUUCUUUUUUGUACCCUCCUUUUGUGGGAGCGUAGCAUAGGUGUUUCUUGUCGAUGUUAAUCGAGAUCGUUCUUCUGGACAAUCUGUUUACACCUGUCAUUGGGAAUGUUUUGUUGGGUGACAAUGCGUACCCUAAUGUUCCAUGUUUCAGUUGCAGGAAUUUCGGGCCCCCCUGCAAAAAUUUGUAGGAUUCCGUGACCCUUCUGCCACACAUUUCUAUCA